GACGAACGCUGGCGGCGUGCUUAGCACAUGCAAGUCGAACGGAAAGGCCCUGCUUUUGUGGGGUGCUCGAGUGGCGAACGGGUGAGUAACACGUGAGUAACCUGCCCUUGACUUUGGGAUAACUUCAGGAAACUGGGGCUAAUACCGGAUAGGAGCUCCUGCUGCAUGGUGGGGGUUGGAAAGUUUCGGCGGUUGGGGAUGGACUCGCGGCUUAUCAGCUUGUUGGUGGGGUAGUGGCUUACCAAGGCUUUGACGGGUAGCCGGCCUGAGAGGGUGACCGGCCACAUUGGGACUGAGAUACGGCCCAGACUCCUACGGGAGGCAGCAGUGGGGAAUAUUGCACAAUGGGCGGAAGCCUGAUGAAGCAACGCCGCGUGCGGGAUGACGGCCUUCGGGUUGUAAACCGCUUUCGCCUGUGACGAAGCGUGAGUGACGGUAAUGGGUAAAGAAGCACCGGCUAACUACGUG
rnacentral:rRNA from 1 species